rnacentral:rRNA from 1 species
GUGGGGAAUCUUGCGCAAUGGGCGAAAGCCUGACGCAGCCAUGCCGCGUGAAUGAUGAAGGUCUUAGGAUUGUAAAAUUCUUUCACCGGGGACGAUAAUGACGGUACCCGGAGAAGAAGCCCCGGCUAACUUCGUGCCAGCAGCCGCGGUAAUACGAAGGGGGCUAGCGUUGCUCGGAAUUACUGGGCGUAAAGGGCGCGUAGGCGGACAGUUUAGUCAGAGGUGAAAGCCCAGGGCUCAACCUUGGAAUUGCCUUUGAUACUGGCUGUCUUGAGUACGGGAGAGGUGAGUGGAACUCCGAGUGUAGAGGUGAAAUUCGGAGAUAUUCGGAAGAACACCAGUGGCGAAGGCGACUCACUGGCCCGUUACUGACGCUGAGGCGCGAAAGCGUGGGGAGCAAACAGGAUUAGAAACCCGUGUAGUCC